rnacentral:tRNA from 1 species
UGUAGCAUGGCAUAGUGGUUUGAGCACUGGACUAUGACUCUGGAGACCAGGGUUCGAAUCCCAGCUCAGCCA